GGGCUAUUAUUUAUAUACCGCUCUAUCUCCCCGAGGGGACUCAGAGCGGUUUCCAAAUAACAUCAUCAAUACAUACGGAGUAAACAAUAUAACCAUAAGAUUAACAAAACAAUAUAAGCAUAAAAAUUGUCGCCAAUACACACAUAUAUUAAAAGUAAUCCUGCCUGUUUAAAAGGCCGGGCCGAGAUUAGUGCAAGCUCAAAAAUUCUGGGGGGCUAUCUGAUUAUUAAUUUGGGACAGAGCAGGAUCUGAAAUUAAUUCACUUAAUUUGAGAUCCUGCUUUGAGCUCACACAUUUUGGGUCCUGUCUGGAUGGGCCCUCAGACUUUGUGUGACUUCUCCAUGGUCACUCAAUGGGUUCUGUGGCUGAGUGAAACCUAUUAAACCAUGACAGUUAUUUAAAAACAGUGUUAGACUCUGUAUGAUGAAGUUGUUUGGGGGGCUUGAAUUUCUCAUGGAUCUUGUCUCAUUCAGCCAUAAUGCCAAACUAUAUAAAAAUAUAACCCACAGUGUUGUGUUAUUCAAAGUUUUAAUGUAUUGUCGAAGGCUUAUGCAAAGUUUUAAGUUUUUAACAAUUCAGAGUUUCAUUUUAGCCAUGGAAUGGUUUUGAAUAUCUGAAUGUUUGCAGGAAGAGCAAACUACAGGGUUGCAAGAAAAUGAGGGUCAUUCAAAACUAUUGAAAAUGUGAACUUUUAACUACCUCCCAUAAUGAGGAAGAAGGAUGAGAGUUUCGGACAGUGUCUUAGCAAGACAGAGAAAAAUACUCCUGGAGUCAUAGGGGACAAUUUUCUCUAUCUAGGACUUUGAGGAGAUGCACUGUGCUCAAGAAAGCUCUUUCCUCACUCUAAAUUAGGGGAAAAGCUAAUCAGAAGUGACUAGAAGUCGCUUUUAGUUUUGAAAAGCAUGUGUUUGUGGCAAAAGUUACUAUUUCCAGGAUUCCUGGGGGAGCACCAAACUUAAAAAAAAAACCCUCUUCCCUCAGAAUCCUGAAAAAACAAAACAGCAAAUCAAAAUUGAUUGGAAAUCUGCUUUGAGGUUUUAGAGAAAGAAGAGAGGCUUAAAGAUGCUGUAUGUAUUUGGAGUUGUGGUCUUUGUAAGCAGUAUGCCAGCAAGCAAGGAUUUCACUGGAAAUUGUUUUAGAUAAGUUCUUUAUGUUAUGAACAUAAGUAAUAAGAGAUGCCAGAAUUUUUGAUGGUGCUCUUUGAAUUCAAUUGGGUUUAAUUAAGUUUUUGUUGCAGCUUAUAUUUUGUGUCAAACCAUGUCUCUACAUAAAUUAUAUGUGUAGAUCUAUGUAGAACAGGACAAAAUUGAAAGAUAGCAAAAAUUGUUAUUGUUUCCACUACAUUCUUACUUAAAUAACUUUUAUCCUUAGCUUUAAAAUGAUGCCUACAGAAGUCACAUCCUGUUAAUUGAUAUACAGUAGAACCUUGACUUACGAGUGUCCCA